GCCCGCUCAGAAACUCAAAGGAAUUGACGGGGCCCGCACAAGCGGAGGAGCAUGUGGUUUAAUUCGAUGAUACGCGAGGAACCUUACCUGGGCUCGAACGUGAGAUGACUGUAGGUGAAAGCUUACAUCUCUUCGGAGCAUUUUACGAGGUGCUGCAUGGUUGUCGUCAGCUCGUGCCGUGAGGUGUCGGGUUAAGUCCCAUAACGAGCGCAACCCCUACCUUUAGUUGCCAUCAGGUUAAGCUGGGGACUCUAAAGGAACUGCCUACGCAAGUAGUGAGGAAGGCGGGGAUGACGUCAAAUCAGCACGGCCCUUACGUCCAGGGCUACACACGUGCUACAAUGGCCGAUACAGAGGGCAGCUACCUGGUGACAGGAUGCAAAUCUCCAAAGUCGGUCUCAGUUCGGAUCGGAGUCUGCAACCCGACUCCGUGAAGUUGGAUUCGCUAGUAAUCGCGCAUCAGCCAUGGCGCGGUGAAUACGUUCCCGGGCCUU
rnacentral:rRNA from 1 species